CACGGGUGAGUAACACGUAUCCAACCUGCCGUCUACUCUUGGACAGCCUUCUGAAAGGAAGAUUAAUACAAGAUGGCAUCAUGAGUCCGCAUGUUCGCAUGAUUAAAGGUAUUCCGGUAGACGAUGGGGAUGCGUUCCAUUAGAUAGUAGGCGGGGUAACGGCCCACCUAGUCUUCGAUGGAUAGGGGUUCUGAGAGGAAGGUCCCCCACAUUGGAACUGAGACACGGUCCAA
rnacentral:rRNA from 1 species